rnacentral:pre_miRNA from 1 species
UCUCAUGGAUGAGUGAAAAAGUAGUUUCCUGAGAUGGAAUCUGCUCCUGGUGAAGAUGCUGUGAA